GUUUGCCAGACAAUAAAUACAAAAGUUUAUCAGCGUUGGUUGAAAAUCCCCUGCGGCCCUGCCCGUGGCGCCCAGAGCCCCCGGGGCCUCAGCUCACCGCGCCCUGGUCCGUGUGGGGAGGUGACACCCGGGCCCGACAGCU
rnacentral:snoRNA from 1 species